GAAAUGCGAUAAGUAGUGUGAAUUGCAGAAUUCAGUGAAUCAUCGAAUCUUUGAACGCACAUUGCGCCCCUUGGUAUUCCAUGGGGCAUGCCUGUUCGAGCGUCAUUUGUACCCUCAAGCUCUGCUUGGUGUUGGGUGUUUGUCCCCGUCUCCGCGCGUGGACUCGCCCCAAAGUGAUUGGCAGCCGGCGUACUGGUCCCGGAGCGCAGCACAUCUCGCGCAAACGAGUGCCUUGGUACGGCGGCGUCCAUAAGCCCCUCUCUCACGCUCUUGACCUCGGAUCAGGUAGGGAUACCCGCUGAACUUAAGC
rnacentral:misc_RNA from 1 species